rnacentral:rRNA from 1 species
AUUUGAAAUCUGGCGCAAGCCCGAGUUGUAAUUUGUAGAGGAUGCUUCUGGAUAGCGGCCGGUCUAAGUUCCUUGGAACAGGACGUCAUAGAGGGUGAGAAACCCGUAUGUGACUGGCUUGCACCCUCCACGUAGCUCCUUCGACGAGUCGAGUUGUUUGGGAGUGCAGCUCUAAAUGGGAGGUAAAUUUCUUCUAAAGCUAAAUACCGGCCAGAGACCGAUAGCGCACAAGUAGAGUGAUCGAAAGAUGAAAAGCACUUUGGAAAGAGAGUUAAAAAGCACGUGAAAUUGUUGAAAGGGAAGCGCCCGCAACCAGACUUUGCGGCAGUGUUCGGCCGGUCUUCUGACCGGUUUACUCGCUGUCGGGAGGCCAUCAUCGUCUGGGACCGCUGGAUAAGACCUUAGGAAUGUGGCUCCCCUCGGGGAGUGUUAUGACCUCUGGAGAUGCCGCGCGCCCCGGGCGAGGACUGCGAUUCGCCAAGUAUGAUGCCGAACCGCUUGUCGCCUCCCCCGUCUUGAAACUCGGACUACGGAGUCUAAAGUCUAUGCGAGUGUUCGGUCGGCAAACCCCAGCGCGUAUCUUAAGUGAACGGAUCUGGGGAACUUUUUUGUGCACCAUCGACCGAUCCAAAUGUCCCCGGAUGCGAUUUUGAUUCAUAACGUAGCUGGUGUGUACCCCCAAAGACGGUCACAAUAUGCCCUGAAUAGGCUUGGAGCCAUAGGUAAACUCCUGGGGGACGGCUCACCGAGGGAUUCUGAUCGUUCCAUAGCCGAUCGCGCAGAUUCUGGGCUUAAGGACGGAAUAGCACUCAACUCAGAAGCCAUUCUAGUACGCCUCGGUCCCGGGCGCCACAUUUCCCUUCAGGUAAUAACAAACGGUUCUCGAGCUUAUUGAUGGAG